UACGUAGGGCGCAAGCGUUGUCCGGAAUUAUUGGGCGUAAAGAGCUCGUAGGCGGUCUGUCGCGUCUGGUGUGAAAUCCCAUGGCUCAACUGUGGGCUUGCAUCGGGUACGGGCAGACUAGAGUGCUGUAGGGGAGACUGGAAUUCCUGGUGUAGCGGUGGAAUGCGCAGAUAUCAGGAGGAACACCAGUGGCGAAGGCGCCGCUCUGGGCCGUAACUGACGCUGAGCAAGCGAAAGCGUGGGGAGCAAA
rnacentral:rRNA from 1 species